rnacentral:rRNA from 1 species
AGAUUGAACGCUAGCGGGAUGCUUUACACAUGCAAGUCGAACGGCAGCGCGGACUUCGGUCUGGCGGCGAGUGGCGAACGGGUGAGUAAUAUAUCGGAACGUGCCCAGUAGCGGGGGAUAACUACGCGAAAGCGUGGCUAAUACCGCAUACGCCCUACGGGGGAAAGGGGGGAUUCUUCGGAACCUCUCACUAUUGGAGCGGCCGAUAUCAGAUUAGCUAGUUGGUGAGGUAAAGGCUCACCAAGGCGACGAUCUGUAGCUGGUUUGAGAGGACGACCAGCCACACUGGGACUGAGACACGGCCCAGACUCCUACGGGAGGCAGCAGUAGGGAAUAUUGGACAAUGGGCAAAGCCUGAUCCAGCAAUGCCGCGUGAGUGAUGAAGGCC